rnacentral:rRNA from 1 species
UGCGUAGGCGGGCUAAUUAGUCAGUGGUGAAAACCUGCAGCUUAACUGUAGACUUGCCAUUGAUACUGUUAGUCUUGAGUACGGUCAAGGUAGGCGGAAUGUGUAAUGUAGCGGUGAAAUGCUUAGAUAUUACACAGAACACCGAUUGCGAAGGCAGCUUACUGGGCCAUUACUGACGCUGAGGCACGAAAGCGUGGGGAGCGAACAGGAUUAGAUACCCUGGUAGUCC